rnacentral:rRNA from 1 species
GGUUGAUCCUGCCAGUAGUCAUAUGCUUGUCUCAAAGAUUAAGCCAUGCAUGUCUAAGUAUAAGCUUUUAUACGGCGAAACUGCGAAUGGCUCAUUAAAACAGUUAUAGUUUAUUUGAUGGUCUUUUUUACAUGGAUAACCAUGGUAAUUCUAUGGCUAAUACAUGCGCAAAGAUUUUCUCCUUUGGGGAGGAUCUGUGUUUAUUAGAUACAAAACCAACCCACACAUGUGUGGAGUCAUGGUGAUUCAUAGUAACCGAACGGAUCGCAGUUGGUUUCGGCCCGCGAUGGAU